UUUAAUUUCUAGUAUCAUUAUUUUAAAACUAUGUAUACACAAAUUAUCUUUCUCAUCUCAAUUAGUAAUAUGAGCUGGUGAUAGAAAUGUAAUGUGCCAUCUGGUUUCAAUUUAUCUCUGUGUAGUGGUAAAGACAGGAAGUACCAUAAAUUAAUGUACACAGAGUUUGAGGCCAAAUUAAGGGUAGAGCAUUUCUUCUUUGUAUAUAUUUCCAUUAUAACUUAUAACAUCAAAGAUAAAAAAAAAAAUAUAUAUAUAAUUAUUUUUUUAUUAUAAUAUAUAACAAAUAUUCAAGAUUUAGGCAAUUGAUAUUUAUAAUUAGGGGCAAAUUUCAAAGGGAUCACACUGUCACAAUACCCUAAGCAACCUUGAUCAACAUAUUCAAAAUUUGAACUGGACAUGAACAUGCAUACAACAAACAAAGAUGUCUUCUAUCAUGAACAAAGUAAUAUGAAUUUUACAAUGGAUUUAGAUCCAAGAGUUCCAAUUAAUUCUAUUGACACUGGAUAGUGCAUAUGAUAGCCUUCAGUUGACAUGACUCUUGGAUUUAGGAAGAUUGGUGUUUACACAUAAUUUGGAUAACAUCUUUUGUAUUUGAAAUCAGAAAAUUCAACUUUAAGGACAGUGAGUACAGAGAAACAGAACUAAAGGAUACACAGAUAUGUAACACAACAACCUAUAGAGGACAGAGAAAAUUUUGUUUUAUUAUUAAAUCAUACUUUUUUAAA